rnacentral:rRNA from 1 species
UUGAACCUGCGGAAGGAUCAUUACCGAGAGAGGAGGCUCAGCUUCUCGGCGGCCACGGCCGUCAGCUCUUCACCCUUUGCGUACCCACCUGCGUUGCUUUGGCGGGCCAUGAGCAUCGUCUCGCGCGGGCCCCGGGGCUUCCUCCCCUCGGCCCACGAGCGCCCGCCGGAGACCCUUUCAUUCUGACCUCUUCGUACCGUCCGAGCAUAUCGCACAAUCGUGAAAAAACUUUCAACAACGGAUCUCUUGGUUCCAGCAUCGAUGAAGAACGCAGCGAAAUGCGAUAAGUAAUGUGAAUUGCAGAAUUCAGUGAAUCAUCGAAUCUUUGAACGCACAUUGCGCCCCCCGGCAUUCCGAGGGGCAUGUCUGUUCGAGCGUCAUUGCAUCCCUCAAGCGUAGGCUUGGUAUUGGGACCCGCUCCCGCGGCGGUCCCGAAAAGCAUCGGCCGCUCAGCGUGGUUUUCGAGCGCAGUAAAAUCUUCCCGCUCCGGAAUCCCCGCUCGGGCAGGCCUUAAACCCUUCAUCCUCAAUGAUUGACCUCGGAUCASGCAGGGAUACCCGCUGAACUUAAGMAUAA